GGCCACCCUCAAAGAAGCCCCACCCAGGGGUCUGUCCUUGGCCUUUCUCCCCUCCCUUGCCUCCACCCUGGGAGACAGACCUCUCCCACCCCUAGCCUGCCCCUCCUCCUGCAUCCUCAAGCCCCCCACCCUCUGGCUAUUGAGGUCCAGACCACCUCCAGGAUGUCCCUUGAGAUGCCCUCCCUUCUCUCUCCCUUGUCCUCAGCCCAGAUGCUGAAAGGGGCACCAGCUUUCACCCCUCCUGAUUUCAUCCAGUCUCAAGCCGUUAGAUGCUGUCUGUACUGUCCACACCCAAACAGACGCCUGACUGUCCUCCCUCCCCCAGCCAGGCCUCUCCUCAGCCGCCCACAUGACACUCCACUUGGAUGUAUAACAAGCAUCUCAGCCGUUCCAGCUCCCGCUCCCCACAGCACCCCAACCCGCUUCCCCCACCACCGCAUUCUCCCCACCCCCGGCUGGCAGCUUUCUCCUUCCUGAUGCUCAGACCAAAAGCCUUCGAGGCAUCCCAGACCCCUCUCCCUCUCCCAUCCACUGGCAAACCCUACUGCUCUAAUCUCAAAGGAGACCCAGAGUCAGACUGCCGCCCCCACCCUGGGCCAGGCCCCCAUCAUUUCUCAUCUGGAUCAUUGCAGGAGCUUCCUAAUUGGUCUCCCUGCUCCCACCUUUUCACUCCUGCCCCCAGGUGUUCCCAGCACAGUGGCCAGAGCCGUCCUGUUCAGAUAUGUCACUGGAUCGCACCUCUCCAGUUGACGCUUCCCAAUGGCUCCUGUGUCGCUCUCAGGAAAAGCCGGGGAAUUAUUGCGUGCCCUGGCCUCCUUGCCUGCAUCCUCUGCUCUCCUCCCUGCACCCUCCUCUCUCUGGCUGCACUGCAGAGGCCUCCCCUGGGGUAUCAGUUGAGGCAGGCUGGGGUGUGCUGUGGUGACCAUCCCUACUCACUGGGCCUUAAAACAGAGAGGGGCAUUUCUCAUUCCAGCUUCACGUCAUGAGGGUCAGCAGGGAGGGCUACGCUGCAUCGUCCUCUCUCAUGACCAUGUCGGGGACAUCUGGAGCAUCACCUGCUUCCAGGCAGGGUGAAGGGAAUGUGGAAUCACUCGCUGACUCCUGCAUGCUUCAGCUCGGAAGUGGCACGCAUCUCUUCCACUCGUAUCUCACUGGCCAAAGCAGAUUACACAGCUGGGCCUAACCCCAAAUGGAAGAAGUGUAGCCCUUCCCUGUUUCCAGAAGAAGAGACAGGCACUGAUGGACAGGGGUGACAGCCUCCCCGCUGCUGUUCCUCGAACGCGCCAGACACGCCCCAGCCCCGGGCCUUUGCCCUGGCUGUUCCCUCUGCCUGGAGUGCCCUUCCCCAAACACCUGCACAGCUCGCCCCUCACCUUCUUUCAGUCUUUGUUCAAAUGUCACCUUCUUGAUGACGCUUUCCCUGACCACCUCACUUAAAACUUCAGAUGUCUCCUGGACACGGGCUGCCAAUCCCCCUUACCUUUACUUUAGCUUUCCACGGUUCUAACAGAUUACCUA
rnacentral:lncRNA from 1 species